rnacentral:rRNA from 1 species
GAUGUGGGGGAUAACCAUUGGAAACGAUGGCUAAUACCGCAUGAUGCCUACGGGCCAAAGAGGGGGACCUUCGGGCCUCUCGCGUCAGGAUAUGCCUAGGUGGGAUUAGCUAGUUGGUGAGGUAAGGCUCACCAAGGCGACGAUCCCUAGCUGGUCUGAGAGGAUGAUCAGCCACACUGGAACUGAGACACGGUCCAGACUCCUACGGGAGGCAGCAGUGGGGAAUAUUGCACAAUGGGCGCAAGCCUGA